CGGGGUGUAGCGCAGCUUGGUAGCGCGCUUCGUUCGGGACGAAGAAGUCGUGGGUUCAAAUCCCGCCACCCCGA
rnacentral:tRNA from 1 species